UUACACUGCCUCACAUUCCUGACCAUGCACUCACCGCACAUAGGUGAGCGAUUUUUGCUUAUUUAGUUAAAUUUUGGAUGCCCCCCCAAGAAUAGAAUAGAUAUAAAUUAGUGUAUACUAUGGUUUAGCAAGUAUAAGAAGGCACAUGACGUGAAUGUUCAAAAACGUAUGCCGCCGUGCACUGACCGUACAUAUGGGAAAGCAUUUUAUGACCACCCCCUCCUUCUAAAAUACCCCAAUUUCAUACCCCGCCCCCCAAUUUUUUUAAACACCCCAAAUUUAAAAAUCCCAUGUUUUUCCUUGUUCUAAACAACCCUUAUCCUACCCCCUUCUAUCAUCUCCUCUCUUAAGCCUCCAAUCCUACACUUAAUUGCAGUACCCUCUUCCAUUUAUUCCUUUCCCCAUAUCCUUACACGCUUUUCCUCAAGUAAGUGAGUUGUUUUCUCCCUCUUAGUUUAGUUUAUUCUUUUUUUCUUUUUCUUGUGUUAUAGUAUAUUUUUAUUAGUUCUUUCAUUCUAGUUAUAUUUAUUUUCUUAUUAGGCAGGAGUUGAAUUUCACCAUGUAUAGUUUGGCGUGACAUUGGUGUAUAAUUCAUCUAAUUAGGGCUAAAAAUUAUUUUGUUUAGGGGUUCAGUAGAACUAUGCAUAUCAGGUGUUUGUAUAAAUGUCACAAAGAGUUUGAGAGCAAUAUUGUAACCAAGUGUGUUGGUGAAGUCUAAGUAAUCUCUCUUGGUUCAUAAAUUAUGCCUUCAGCUAAUAUUUGGUAAUUGUUAUAUAUAUUAUAAUGCUGUCUAGGAAAUUAAAAACCACAGGUGCUUCCUUAAGUGGUCAUGUUGGCUCAUCCCGAUCACGUGCUUCUGCUACUGUUCGGCCGUACAAUACUCGUCUCUAGUGCUGCCCAGGAAUGAUUAUGUUUUAAGGAAAGAAAGAAACCCAUACUGGAGAGGACAAUUGAUAUGAGAUCCCUCCAUAAUGAUUGUCCCACUAUGUAUUAUGAAUUGGUCAAGCGAGGGUUGGGGAUAUCUUUUAAGGAACAUGAAGAGGCCAACUUAAUAAUUAUUUAGGAGUUUUAUGCAAACUUACCGAAAAAUGUCAACCAUGUCUGCAUAGCUCAAAAGAAGAGUGUGGACAUAUCCAUAGAGGCCAUUCGAAGGGCCUACCGUUCGCUAAUGUUUGGUGUAAAUCUGAAAAUAGCAGACUAUUAUGACACGUAUAGCAAAGAACCACCCAUAUGGGAACUAUUUUUUUGAACCAUUUGUGUGACAAACAAGGAGGUAAUGUGGCUAACUCGCGGCAAAAGUUUCAUUUGUCAUCGCUCACCUUUGAAGGGAAGUGCAGGCUCCAUAUCAUAAAUAGCCGCUUGGUGCCUUCCUCAAACACCACUGAGGUGAAUUGUGCCCAAGCCGCACUAAUCUGGUGCUUUAUCAAUGGCCAUAACCUUGAUAUGGCUAAGGUUAUUCACGGCGUGAUAUUCAUUGGCUGUCUUGUAUAUAGUUAUGGUUUAUUUUUUCCAUCAUUCAUCACUCGGUUAUUCCGUGAAGCACGUGUACCGAAAAGCAGGAACAUGGAUGGGUAAGUCAAAAAGGUGAAAAGAAAUUUAUGAUGAUAAAGUAUUAAUUGUGAAGGACCUUACUGGGCUUGUACAGGUAGCUAAGGAUGAGUUUGAUGCGCCCGAUGAUGGCAAUAAGGUGCAAGAUGAAGAUGUUGCUACCUCCUUGCCGCAUAAGCAUGCUAUUGGGGGAACCUCAUGUAGCAUAUGGGAGAGAAGAAUGAGUGCUUGAAAGCAGGGGAUGGCAGGGAUGUCUGCCUCUAUCAUAAACUUGGGAGCUCGAGUGGAUGCCCUUGCCACACAAAAUGCAAACUUUGAGAGAAUGAUCAUAGCAUGGCUGCAUGCACUUGGUCGGGCUUGCCAUAUAGACCCCGUCACUAUCUUUGACACAGACUAAAUCAGGAAUGUUUUUUUAACUUGCAUUUUUUUGUGUGUGACAUGGGGACAUUCCACCAUUUAAAGUGUGGGGUAGCAGCUAAAUAAAAAAAAAAUUAAAUUUAAAAUUUUCGUCUUUUCUCGGUGAUGGAUAUCUAUUAUUCAGGUUUCUUGAAGGAUUUAAUUUUAAAGAAAAAUAUCAAAACUAUUUUCUUUUGUUAGGUACUGUAUUUAUUCCCCCUUGUUCUUUCUUUGUGUUGCGGUUCUUUUCGAAGGGUUUUGUUUUAACUGGGUGUAGUUAGCUUUUGUUUUCUUUAGGAUUAGGGAAACCUUGCGCUAUGAGUUGAAUAAAAGGCAAUAUCUCUUGACUUGAUCAUGCCUUGAGAAUAAUUAGUGCUCUGAUUGUGACGUUUAGGAUCAGUCUUUCACUCUUGUAUAAGUACCGUAAUUUAUAAGAUCUUAACUUUGCUUAACUGCUUUUACUAGAGUAUCUUGAUGAGUCCAAUCUUGAGUGAAUUAUGUGCCAUGUGUUUGUGAGCUUUGUGUUAUUUUGUGCAAUGCACUUGAUGUCUAGAACUUUUCCCGUGUGUUUGUAAAGCAAAAUAGUAGUUUUAUUUAGUCUAGGAAGUGAUAUAGGCAUUAUUUUGUUGAGCCAGUUAUAAGCUUUUGCCCACUUAAUUGUUAUGUAUCUUCGUUAACCCGUUUGAACCUAUUAACCUAUUUCUUUGGCAACCACAUUAUAAGCCUUACCUAGUUAUUUGAAUUGACAAUCUAUUUGAACAUUGUACAUCUUGUGAGCACUUGAAUUUAUUAUGAACUGUGUAAAAGUUAAUGUGAUGGGUGGUUGGGCGUUUGAGUGGAACUAAUGAAAUAAGGAGAAAAGUGUAAUGUUUUGAAAAAGUGUGAGCCGUUUGAAUUGAAUAAGAGAAGAAAGAAAAAAUAUUAAUCGUAUGCUUGUGAAGAAUAUUCUUUGAUAGUGGUGACUCUUGAUUUAACUGUGCUUAAAUAAUUUGGUAGUUGAUGUAUAUUGGUGUGAAGGUUGGGUUUUGGUUUUACAUAAGUACAAGGUUUUAAAUGUUAAAGUCUCUGUAUUAAAGUUCUUAGGGAGGUGCGGUCACUCUUUUAUCUAAAUAUAUCCACGCAACCUACAUUAAAACCAGUUGAAGUCCUACUUGUUCCUUGACUGAAUGAGCUCAAUUAGUAAAGUAGUACACUACGGGAAAGCCUAUAAUUCAUAUUUUUUGGUAUGAAUGUUAGUUCUGAGAGUGAGUGAAUUCUUUCUAUCAUGAGUUCCUAAUUGCUCUUAACUUUUAUUUUGUCUGGAACUACUCUCUUUUAUUGUAAAUUAAGGAAAGGCAAUGUUAUUGACCUAUAUGUUAGAGAAAGUGAAUUGAUUAUAGAUAAUGCGUUGUGCUGUCGAGUCAAACUUUGAGGUUAAGAGGUCAAAAUAUUGCACUUAAUUUGUUUCAAAGAGGCUUGGUGUGAUGUGUCUAGAGUGUUGUUGAAAAGAGGCAUAUUUAGGUGAAGUAUAGUAGGAUUGCUAGGGGACGAAAAUUGAUUUCAGUGUGAGGUGUUGAUGGGAGGCUAUAAUUAUGUAUUUGGCCACUAAUUCCACUAUAACUCGCUGAACUUUAGUAAUGAUUGAGUUUUAAAUGGUAUUAAUUCGCAUGGAUUGCGUAUUUUAUGCUUUGCAGGAGUGAUCUCGAGCUACAAUGAGGUUAGGGAGCGUUUUCGAGCUAGUAUGGAUCUUUGAAGGCUAAGUAAAAGCUUAUGGAAUAAUUUGGGGUUAUGUUCAAGGAUCAAAUAAUGUUGGCGCAUCAAAACGAAGAACAAAGAAGAGAUCAAAAAGUUACCCAAGUGUGCGGCCAUGCAUUGGUCGCACAUGACAAGUAGAAACUGGCCAAAUUGCACAUCCACAUGCGCGAUCACCUACCCAGGCGCGCGGCCGCGCAUGUUUGUCCGAAAAUUUUCCUAGGGCUAAUUUUGUAAAUUUGGAGGCGACAUCUAUUCACCUAUAUUGAGCCCAACUCAUCUAAAAAGAUGGUAUUCCAGAUUUUGAGAGCAACUUAGAAGGGAGAGGAAGGACAAAAGCAACGGGAAAGCAAGAUACUUGAUCUAAUUCACUCAAUACGAGUUUAUUUGAAAUUGUGAUUUGUAAUGUAUUCUUGUUCUUCUAAUACUAUUGCUAUGAAUAGUUUCUCGGUUAUAAAUUAAUUCACCGUAGGGUUAUUGAUAGAUAGUGUGAAUCUACUUUUUUUUGGGUGUUACUCUUUGUUAAUUUCCCAACUUUAUUAAAUGAGUUACUAAUUAUAUUGCAA
rnacentral:lncRNA from 1 species